CGUUUUGAGUGGGUCUAACAUAGAGGAGUGCACGUGCGUACGGUGCAGUAGCUGAGGACACACUGGUGGUUUCAGGGACAAUUGAUCAUUUUUCACAAAGCCGUGACCAAGCAGACUCAAUGGUACCUUACCGACAGCUGCGAUUUCGCUAUAGAUGCGUACGACCGGGCCACUUGAAGCCUCAUGCUUUACAUUGAAUCAAAAUACGUGUCGAGACGGGAAGAUAUGAACGAAACUGCAUUCACGUUCGUGCUUGCUGGAGAUACCUUGGUCUAUGGGCUCUGCUAAUCAAAUCGAGAGUACCGUUUGAAGAAUUAGAAUGCAAAAGUGUGCUUAAGACGAAAAAUCUCUCGUGUUUAUUUGACUCAUCGCUCUUCACGCUAUUACAUUUAUGAAACAUACGGUUAGAGUUCCGGUCAGGUCUAAGGUUACUAUCUGCACGAUGCGGACAGGAACAACAAGUUGUCUAUUGACCUUCAUGAGCACUUUUGGAGCUGCACUGAUCGGGACCUGCUCGAUCUGGAGCGGCCUCGCUGACGAAAUUCAGGCAGACCAGAAUAGGGACUUCCAAUGCAGAAAGAAGCUAGACUAUUCACUUAUGUACUGAUGCAACAAGGUAAACAUCUAGACAGAAAAGAGCAAUACCUUAAGGACGGGCAUUGAGAAAAUUUAGUCUAAAACAUUAAAGCCAAAUGUUGUCCUGACAGUCAAACGAAGGUGACCGAUGAACCGAUGUCCGAUGGCCGAUGACCGUCCCCCUAUGAAAGCAAACGUGUACCAGUACUUCAUGUCAGCAAGUUCAGGUAACACAAAAUGAUUCGUAUGCACUUCGACGCUUACUUUCGUGAAGAAUUCUCAUUUUAGAGUGAGUCUUAUAUUGCAGCGAUAAGUUUAUUGACGAUUAUAUAUGCCCCACUAGUGUGCUUAACAGAUAGCUUUAAAGAGAUGCGCGGAACACUGCUGAUAAAAGUAUCGAUUCUUUAGAAUAGUCAUUGCGUUAUUGUUACAUUGCUUGAUGUUGCACUGUAUAUUGUUUGUCCUAUAACGAGCAAGG
rnacentral:lncRNA from 1 species